GGUGUUCUAGGUCUCACUGUUUCUUCUGCAGUCUAAUGACAGAAUAGGAAGGAUGCCACAGCUGAUGCAGGUGCAGUGAGGAGAGAAGGAGCAAAGGACUUGGGAGUGAGGGCACUGGGAAAAACACUGAGAAUGAUGUCUGAAAAUAAGAGAGGCUUUAAGCAGCACAAAGUGAGCAGAGGAGUAAUACGUUGACAGUAAGCAAGGCAUGCUCUGAAGGUUAUCAGUGCUGCUCCUGUUCCACCAGUGAAACAGCCACAGGCCCUCUAAGGCCCCUGAAAACAGCACGUGGAAGCAUAGCUCAGUUGUGUCCCACUGAGAGCCAGGCAUGGAAACAAUCCUGGAGAUGUGCUCCAAGCCUUGAACUUGAGGAAAUGAAAAUUAAAAGUUCAUGAUAAGACAUUUCAAGCAUUACUUUUUCACUAUGGAAGUCUCUUCCUAAAGUGGCACUAAGUUCUGGCCACUACGGCUAGGAGUGAGGUUCUGUUCCACUUUAUCAAGACCAGCUGAUAAAGACACUUUUAUCAUGUAUGGGGCAUCAUCUCCAUUCCAGCCUCCCAAAUAGCUUUUGUACCUCAGUUGGAGUCUCCACGAAUACAUGUUCACAAAAGAACCACCACUACCACACUGGCAGGACAGCAUGUGUGUGUGUGUUAUGUAGGUGGACAGAGGGUAAAAGAGGCAUGACGAGGAUCACCUGACAAAAGUGCCCAUAUGUUGACAGAAUAACAUCUCCAGUGUAAAGGAAAAAUUAUUUUUACAAAAACAGAAGCAUGUUUUAUUUCAAUCCUGUUGAGGGAGAGGGAUGGAAACACAAAAUAAGGGGAGGGGUCUCUUUAUAUAAUAUACACAUCAGGAUCAACUACAAUGAAUAAUACCCAUUCCACCCCUCCCCCACCAACUCCUAUGUGGGGUCCAAGGCCAGCUGAGAACAGAUGGGACAAGAAUUAAGACACUACUGGCACAGUAACAUGGCCAAUGCACCGAAAGAUGGAGAGAAGAGAAAUUCCCAGGGAGCAAGGCCCUGGGCCUCAGCUGCUUCCCCAGUGGAGGGGGAAUGAGAAAACUUUGGCUCAGCAGGAAGGCGGUUGUCAAAAGUCAGGGUUACCUUAACAGGACUCUGCAGAUCACAGACUAUGAACUGAAGACAGUCAAGAUGUCUAUCCAGUACAUUCUGUUCUCUGCUUUCUCUAAGAUCCUUUCUCUUUAGCCUUGCAAUUAUUGAGGGUUAGCCUGGUUCUCCUCUUCAUCUUGGAAGACACGGGAAUAAGUGCUUAUUCUGCCCUUCCUACAUCUAGGCUACUUAAUUACUAUUUUGUUGGCUCUAAAGAGACAGAAGCCAACUAACAAGUCCGGCUCUCUUUGUGAAAGUCGGCUUGAAAGAGCCCUUGUGUUGGCAAAACUGCCUCUGCAAAGGUUUUUUUUUUUUUUUUUUUUUUUUUUGAGCCAGCCCCUUGAAGAUCCUCCCUAAACUUGUUCAGACACCUCAAUUGUGUGAGAUGUGGGCAGAAAAGACUUGGUCCCUCUCUAGAGUUAGAUUAAGCAAUUCCAUCUUUGAUUGGAGAUGAGGAUGAAAAGCAGGUGCUAGUAGGGGGAAGGACUGGGGGAAAGCAAGGCAGUUUACACUAGGUUGCAGAUUCAAGCCUGUGGAUUGUGAACAGAGCCACCUAAGCUCCAGAGAAGAGGAAACCUCUGACACAAUAUGAACAAGUGAAUAUUUUAGUGGCAACCCUGUCAUUUCCAUAUACCAAGAGAAUG